rnacentral:rRNA from 1 species
UACGUAGGGUGCAAGCGUUGUCCGGAAUUAUUGGGCGUAAAGAAGCUUGUAGGCGGUUUGUCGCGUCUGCUGUGAAUUUCGGGGCUCAACCCCGAACUUGCAGUGGGUACGGGCAGACUAGAGUGUGGUAGGGGAGACUGGAAUUCCUGGUGUAGCGGUGAAAUGCGCAGAUAUCAGGAGGAACACCGAUGGCGAAGGCAGGUCUCUGGGCCGAUACUGACGCUGAGGAGCGAAAGCGUGGGGAGCGAACAGG